GGAUGUGAGGGUAAUCUGGCUGUGACAUCUGUCACCCCACUGAUUGUCAGGGUUGAUUUGGCUGAUCUGGCUGGCUAGGUGGGUGUCUCCUUCCUCCCUUAUGGCUCCAUGUGUGUCCCUCCCAAAGCUAUGUGCUCAGUCAAAGAGGACAAUCUUCCCCAAAUAGGAACAGACUAGUCUUCAGUAGAGGGUAUAUGAGUAGUUGUGCUCCCCUGCUAGAACCUCCAAACAAGUUCUCAAGGGGUGUGUGGAUAGAGGCCACUGGCCAAAGCUGCUGUAUGCCUCCAUACCCCCUUGUCAUCCCACUUACCAGGGAGACUAGG
rfam:Erinaceus europaeus unplaced genomic scaffold scaffold00267, whole genome shotgun sequence